rnacentral:lncRNA from 1 species
GGGACUCCGGCGCAUGGACGGACGGGACGGCACGGGGUGGGGGAGCCUGCCCGGCUGCCCCCAACAGACCGAAUCGCUGGAGGAUGACGCUGCCGCUGUGCCGCAGUCGUCAACGCGCCAGCAGGGGCCCGGCGGCACCAACAAUGUGGCCUGUGGGGAACAAGCAGACGCCAUGCGCGCCGGUUGUUGGUGGAUGCGAAAUUCUUGGGUUCCAGUCUCCAGAUGUUGAGCUGUUG